rnacentral:rRNA from 1 species
AGAGUUUGAUCAUGGCUCAGAAUCAACGCUGGCGGCGUGCCUAACACAUGCAAGUCGAACGCGAAAGUGGAGCAAUCCAUGAGUAGAGUGGCAAACGGGUGAGUAACACGUGGGUGACCUGCCUUCGAGUGGGGGAUAACGUCCCGAAAGGGACGCUAAUACCGCAUGACAUCCUGCCUUUUAAGAGGUGGAGAUCAAAGCCGGGGAUCGCAAGACCUGGCGCUUGAAGAGGGGCCCGCGCCUGAUUAGCUAGUUGGUGGGGUAAUGGCCUACCAAGGCAACGAUCAGUAUCCGGCCUGAGAGGGCGGACGGACACACUGGGACUGAGACACGGCCCAGACUCCUACGGGAGGCAGCAGUGGGGAAUUGUUCGCAAUGGGCGCAAGCCUGACGACGCAACGCCGCGUGGAGGAUGAAGAUCUUCGGGUCGUAAACUCCUUUCGAUCGAGACGAAUGGUUUCCGGGUGAACAAUCCGGGAAAAUGACGGUACCGAGAGAAGAAGCCCCGGCUAACUCCGUGCCAGCAGCCGCGGUAAUACGGGGGGGGCAAGCGUUGUUCGGAAUUACUGGGCGUAAAGGGCUUGUAGGUGGCCAACUAAGUCAGACGUGAAAUCCCUCAGCUUAACUGGGGAACUGCUUCUGAUACUGGAUGGCUUGAGUUUGGGAGAGGGAUGCGGAAUUCCAGGUGUAGCGGUGAAAUGCGUAGAUAUCUGGAGGAACACCGGUGGCGAAGGCGGCAUCCUGGACCAACACUGACACUGAAAAGCGAAAGCCAGGGGAGCAAACGGGAUUAGAUACCCCCGUAGUCC